rnacentral:rRNA from 1 species
GCUUACGGCCAUACCACCCUGAGCACGCCCCAACUCGUCUGAUCUCGGAAGCUAAGCAGGGUCGGGCCUGGUUAGUACUUGGAUGGGAGACUGCCUAGGAAUACCAAGUGCUGUGAGCU